GACGAACGCUGGCGGCGUGCUUAACACAUGCAAGUCGAACGGAAAGGCCCUGCUUUUGUGGGGUGCUCGAGUGGCGAACGGGUGAGUAACACGGGAGUAACCUGCCCUUGACUUUGGGAUAACUUCAGGAAACUGGGGCUAAUACCGGAUAGGAGCUCCUGCUGCAUGGUGGGGGUUGGAAAGUUUCGGCGGUUGGGGAUGGGCUCGCGGCUUAUCAGCUUGUGGGGGGGGUAGUGGCUUACCAAGGCUUUGACGGGUAGCCGGCCUGAGAGGGUGACCGGCCACAUUGGGACUGAGAUACGGCCCAGACUCCUACGGGAGGCAGCAGUGGGGAAUAUUGCACAAUGGGCGGAAGCCUGAUGCAGCAACGCCGCGUGCGGGAUGACGGCCUUCGGGUUGUAAACCGCUUUCGCCUGUGACGAAGCGUGAGUGACGGUAAUGGGUAAAGAAGCACCGGCUAACUACGUG
rnacentral:rRNA from 1 species